CGCCCUUAGAGUUUGAUCCUGGCUCAGAUUGAACGCUGGCGGCAGGCCUAACACAUGCAAGUCGAACGGUAAAGCAGCUUGCUGCUUACGAGUGGCGGACGGGUGAGUAAUGUCUGGGAAGCUGCCUGAUGGAGGGGGAUAACUACUGGAAACGGUAGCUAAUACCGCAUAAUGUCGCAAGACCAAAGAGGUUCGUCUUGCCAUCGGAUGUGCCCAGAUGGGAUUAGCUUGUUGGUGGGGUAACGGCUCACCAAGGCGACGAUCCCUAGCUGGUCUGAGAGGAUGACCAGCCACACUGGAACUGAGACACGGUCCAGACUCCUACGGGAGGCAGCAGUGGGGAAUAUUGCACAAUGGGCGCAAGCCUGAUGCAGCCAUGCCGCGUGUAUGAAGAAGGCCUUCGGGUUGUAAAGUACUUUCAGCGGGGAGGAAGGGAGUAAAGUAAUCUUUGCUCUUGACGUUACCCGCAGAAGAAGCACCGGCUAACUCCGUGCCAGCAGCCGCGGUAAUACGGAGGGUGCAAGCGUUAAUCGGAAUUACUGGGCGUAAAGCGCACGCAGGCGGUUUGUUAAGUCAGAUGUGAAAUCCCCGGGCUCAACCUGGGAACUGCAUCUGAUACUGGCAAGCUUGAGUCUCGUAGAGGGGGGUAGAAUUCCAGGUGUAGCGGUGAAAUGCGUAGAGAUCUGGAGGAAUAUCGGUGGCGAAGGCGGCUCCCUGGACGAGACUGACGCUCAGGUGCGAAAGCGUGGGGAGCAAACAGGAUUAGAUAUCCUGGUAGUCCACGCCGUAAACGAUGUCGACUUGGAGGUUGUGCCUUUGGGCGUGGCUUCCGGAGCUAACGC
rnacentral:rRNA from 1 species